rnacentral:rRNA from 1 species
GAUUUCUGGCUUGGUGCGCGCCGUCCGCUUCGGUUUCGGAGUGAGUGCGGUUGUGCGCCUGCCAUCCUUCUGGUUAGUAUGCUGUGCCCUUCACUGGGUGUCAGGUGCUAAUUGGAUCUUUUACUUUGAAAAAAUUAGAGUGUUCAAAGCAGGCUUUCGCUAUGAAUACAUUAGCAUGGAAUAAUAAUUUAGGACUUUUGUUCUAUUUUGUUGGUUUCUAGGACGAAAGUAAUGAUUGAUAGGGAUAGUUGGGGGUGCUAGUAUUCAGCGGCCAGAGGUGAAAUUCUUGGAUUCGCUGAAGACUAACUUAUGCGAAAGCAUU